UACAGAGGUGGCAAGCGUUGUUCGGGAUUACUGGGCGUAAAGGGCGCGUAGGCGGUUCGUUAAGUCCUGUGUGAAAUCCCCCGGCUCAACUGGGGAACUGCACAGGAAACUAGCGGGCUUGAGUUCGGGAGAGGGAAGCGGAAUUCCGGGUGUAGCGGUGAAAUGCGUAGAUAUCUGGAGGAACACCGGUGGCGAAGGCGGCAUCCUGGACCAACACUGACGCUGAGUGAGCGAAAGCCAGGGGAGCAAACGGG
rnacentral:rRNA from 1 species